UACAUUGUCAAUCUAUCUGUAAUUUUGAUACAUUAUCAAUCUAUCUGUAAUUUUCUUCUCAUUUCGUUUGCUUUCAAUAUCGGAUCAAGAAUGUGCCGUGUUUGCACAAAAGUCGUUGACAGCUCCUUUUUAGUUUGAAAUGUUUAUGUUACUGCUUGCAGACUAAUCGGUUUUGUGACGUCUAAUCGAUGUUGAUAUCUGUUUGGGGUAGUCGUUAUUUUAUUUUCUAUUGUAGUCUGCUCUACCAACCAAUUACAUCCGCUGUUGGAAAUAGUCAUAGUCAUCUAAAAAGAGUUCCUGUCAAUUAUCAGAUGUAACUCUCUGUAACUUGAACAGAUACUUUUAGAAUAUUCCUCAAUUGGGUCACAGUUCAUUGUAAUAGAAGCUGCUGGAAUAUUACCAUUAGAAAGAACAAAUUCUUUAACUUCCUUGGCUUAAAUUGUCAUGUUGAAAUUUGAAGUAAAUACUGAAUGCGGACUUGCUCAAUCCAUAUUGAUUAUCAAGUGAAGUGUUGGCUGAUUUGGAUUAUAUGAAGAAUUUUACUUUUUAAUAAUAUUAUACAUUUCCUAUAAUAUCUUGUUAAAUUUUCUCAAGGUCAGAAUGACAAGCAUGUAAAUCGUUGUUCAGAUGAAAAAAGUUUUAUAUCUAAUAGUGGUCUUACUAUUAUUAUUAUUAUUAU
rnacentral:misc_RNA from 1 species